UGCCUCUGCCGAGAAAUCACGUGGAUUCAAAGUGCCAGCCCCAGGGCGCGAGGGUAGGGUGCCCGGAACCCGCUGCGGCUUGGAGAUCGCAGCUGGAUGUGCCUUUCUGACUACUACCAAGACAGGAGACGAUGUAGGAUGGAGGCAGGAGGAGUAGCUGAGCAAAACUUGGUGGAGUUGGGUCCAGAGUUCUGAUUCCUGAUCUCCAGUGCGCGACAGCCGCUCAUCACCUGAGACCUGACCCGGACAAGCAUGGUCUCCAGGGAGCCUUUCAAGAACCUUCCCCAUGCUCCUGGCUAUUUCCAGUAUUGGAUUCAUGCUCUGAGAUCCAAGGGCAGAAGAGAACAGAGAUAAAGGAUCUCAGACUGUGAAAAGGGAGCAGAGAGGUUUAGAGCUCACUGCCCAGUCUAACCUUAAUUGGUGAGAUCCAGGCCAAUUAGAGUUCUGGUCUCAGAGGUGGUAGGCAGUGGACAAGUGAGUUUAUCCUCUGGUCACUACAAGCAGGCACAAAGACACACACACACACACCUACACACACAUGAACACAAAGAUUCACAAAUGCAUGCACACAAGCAUCAUUUGUUUGUUUGUUUGUUUUUUCAA